UCCGGCCUACGGGGGGCAGCAGUGGGGAAUAUUGGGCAAUGGGCGCAAGCCUGACCCAGCAACGCCGCGUGAAGGAAGAAGGCUUUCGGGUUGUAAACUUCUUUUGUCAGGGACGAAGCAAGUGACGGUACCUGUCGAAUAAGCCACGGCUAACUACGUGCCAGCAGCCGCGUUAAUACGUAGGUGGCAAGCGUUAUCCGGAUUUAUUGGGUGUAAAGGGCGUGUAGGGUG
rnacentral:rRNA from 1 species